rnacentral:rRNA from 1 species
UGCAAGUCGAACGGCAGCACGGGGGCAACCCUGGUGGCGAGUGGCGAACGGGUGAGUAAUACAUCGGAACGUGUCCUGUAGUGGGGGAUAGCCCGGCGAAAGCCGGAUUAAUACCGCAUACGCUCUGCGGAGGAAAGCGGGGGAUCCUUCGGGACCUCGCGCUACAGGGGCGGCCGAUGGCAGAUUAGCUAGUUGGUGGGGUAAAGGCCUACCAAGGCGACGAUCUGUAGCUGGUCUGAGAGGACGACCAGCCACACUGGGACUGAGACACGGCCCAGACUCCUACGGGAGGCAGCAGUGGGGAAUUUUGGACAAUGGGCGCAAGCCUGAUCCAGCAAUGCCGCGUGUGUGAAGAAGGCCUUCGGGUUGUAAAGCACUUUUGUCCGGAAAGAAAACCUCGUGGUUAAUACCCGUGGGGGAUGACGGUACCGGAAGAAUAAGCACCGGCUAACUACGUGCCAGCAGCCGCGGUAAUACGUAGGGUGCAAGCGUGAAUCGGAAUUACUGGGCGUAAAGCGUGCGCAGGCGGUUCGCUAAGACAGAUGUGAAAUCCCCGGGCUUAACCUGGGAACUGCAUUUGUGACUGGCG